rnacentral:lncRNA from 1 species
CUUUUUGUAUAUGCAUUCAAAUAUAAAUAUUUUCCCCAAUAAUUCCAAAACUCUACAUAUCACCUAUUUUAAUUAACUUUCAACAUAGAGGGUCAAAAAUAAAAAAAAAUAAAAAAAGUAACGGUUAAUAGAUAUGAGAAUUAUAGAUUCAAAUAUAAGUUAGCUCUAUCUAUUAAAGCUUAGAUAUACGAAAAGAGUCAAAUAUCGGUACACCACAAUUUUCUUUUAAUCUGAGAAGCUCAGAUCCUUCAGUGAAAUUCUCAAGAACUCGAAAGGCACCAUGUAUUCAACUUAUAAUUUCCCUUUCUUUUUUCUUCUCUAGAGAAGAUCGAGUCUGGCAACAAAAUUACACACAUGUAAGAUAUUUGCAAGCUCUAUUUAUAAAAGUAAUUUAUCUUUAAGGUCUCGAAGGAUUCAGGAAAAUUUUAAGCAAGAUAAAUAGAAAGAGAUUCAACAUGUAUUAUGUUUUAUCAAUUCUUUCUCUUCCGUCCUUUCUCAAUUGGUGAAAAUAUAGUAAGAUUAUAAAGUAUACACAAAGAUAUAUCUUCUAAUUUACCAUCCAAAAUACAGAAAGAUAGGAAGGCUAAAAGAUAUUUGAAAAUUUUAAAUAUUAAAGUAAGGAAGCUUGUAUAUAACAAUGGAAACUUGCCUAAAAACAAAUUCGCGUUCUUGUUUCUUAUGUCACUAUCUAGUUUUCUGCAAUUAACAAAAGGCCAUAAAGAAUAACAUCCGCAAUCAGUUGAUAGUAAAAGAAUGCAGUCAGUUCUUUGAUAAACAUUUCAAUAAAAUGUGGUGUGAAGUAUAUUGCACACAAAGACAUGAUGUUUAUUCAUUUUGUUUCCCAUUAAAGAUUGGGAUUAGUAUCUACAAUACCAUACAUGAUAGUACGAAAAUGUAUAGCCAUGACAAAACAGAUAGUACUACAUGGGCUUCAUUCUAAGUCCUCCUUUUUGUGUCCCUCUUUUUUUUUCCAAAUUUUGCAAGCACCAUAGGGAAAAAAUACAUUUUACCCAUUGGUGAACAUUGUCCAUAAGCGAUCAACUGGAAAAAAGUCAUAAUAAAUAGGGAACAGGAACUGAAUUAAAGAAGCCAAUAUCUAAUUUGAUUAGUCAAAAGAUAAUCAUAUAUCCAAGAUACUUAGUACCACGAUUACCUAAUAAUUGCAAAUCCACUAUCCGUCAACAUUCCCGAAAGCUGGCUUUUCAUAAGCCACAAGUAACAACAUUGCCUCAAACCCAACUGAAGUAAACAUAGUGCAUUAAAAAUAAUCAGGAAACUUCUGAGGAAGCAUCUCACUUUUCCAAGAGAAAGAAAUAAAAAUGUAUAAGGCUCUAUUUCAUGGUCAUCGACAAAAAAUUAUGUUAUCAGUAACAUAUUAAUUCUUCAUCUCCUUGGUUUCUUUUAAAACCUUAAGUUACCAGUUAACAUGAUAACAAAGUAUAUCGAAGAUAUGGAAGCCAACUUCUACUAACUUGCUCAACAUAAGCUAAGAGAAGGUGAUGUAACAGAACAGAUUGUGCCCUUUGCAGAUGAGCAUAUUUCAAGAACUAUGAGUUAUUCGUUCUUCAUAGCUAGUCUAACCAAUGCCGUAUACAGGUCAUAUGGCAACAAACAUGUAUGCAUAGUAACUUUUGAGGUCUGAAUACCUUGUAAAUUGAACAUGUUGCGCAAUAUCGCCUAUUUUCCCGAGGAAAAAUGGCCUCAAAAUUACCUGAUCUUUCACUACUUACAUUGCUUUACAUAUCCUCACUUUGUUCUUUUUUUGCAUCCAAAAAAACUGCAACAAUGGUUAAAUUUCAUUGUCCUAAAACUAUAAGAUGAAAUCGAGAAGAAUAAAAAGGAAAUUAUACAUUAUUCAGUGAGGUCCAAAUCGCAACAUUCUGAUGUACCUUUGCCAGUAACAGAGAUUGACCCAUUGUAAGGUUUUAACAUAGUCAGUUUAAGACCUUGAAAUUAAAAAGAAAUCCAAGCAAUUCAGUUUUCUUGAACAUUGUCUGCACUGGAACAUGAAGAUAAAGUUAUAAGAUAUAAGAAUCAAUCGACUUUUGACAUUCAAACUUAACUUGGACUAUGUAAAGACUCCAUUAAAUAGGGUACGGGAAAAUGCCAAAUUAUUUGGAGUUGUAUUUAAACACUCUUGGAAACUAUAGAAAAAAUGCAGAAAAAGAAAUUCUACUUUCGAAGGCCUUGUUCAUGUUUGAAGAAGAAGAAAGCUAUUGUUUUAAAGAAGAAUAACCAUUGUACAAACCCUUUCACAUUCUUAACUAUAUUGUUGACUCUUCUUUCACAUCCAUCACAGUCCAUUUACACAUUUGUUUAAACCUUCUACCAAGAAAAACGAAGAAGAAUUCUCGAAUAGUACAAAAAUUAUAAAUAAAUUGAGAAUAAGCAAAGAGGAAAAAAGCGGAAAGAAAGAUAGAAUAGUAAAAAGCAGAAAUUUAUUGCAUCAUAUGCAUGUACAUAGAAAUUCCAAAGAUUUCAAUAAUAGCUUCAAUUAUCCCUAAAAUCAGCACAGAUCCAUAUUUACUUAAUCCCAAAUCUUCAUUUCCAGUUUUCAGCGCAAAGUGUAAACUUUGAUGCUAACCAAGAUUAGGUAUUAAGUAUACAAAGAAAAACGAAGAAGAAUUCUCGAAUAGUACAAAAAUUAUAAAUAAAUUGAGAAUAAGCAAAGAGGAAAAAGCGGAAAGAAAGAUAGAAUAGUAAAAAGCAGAAAUUUAUUGCAUCAUAUGCAUGUACAUAGAAAUUCCAAAGAUUUCAAUAAUAGCUUCAAUUAUCCCUAAAAUCAGCACAGAUCCAUAUUUACUUAAUCCCAAAUCUUCAUUUCCAGUUUUCAGCGCAAAGUGUAAACUUUGAUGCUAACCAAGAUUAGGUAUUAAGUAUUAAGUAUUAAGUAUACAAAGAAUAUGGAGAAAGAAGGCUACAGGGGUCAAAAACUUACAGUUAGAUUAGGAGUAGGGGAGAAAAGAAUUUUCUAUAAACGGAGAGAAAUAUCCUCUCACCGGUUUCAAUCGAGAUAGAGAGAGUCGGGGAAGAGACGGUUCUUUUAAUUCUAAUAGUGAUUUUGCCUUUCAAUAGUGACUGUUGGAUGCAGUAAAAGAUAAACCGUUUUCUAGUGUUUAGGAAAUUAAAAAAAGGAGAUAAUAGAUAAAUAGAAUUGUUGUUUACAUAAGGCGCCACAUCAUCCUCCUCAUGUCCCU